ACACACUUUGCAAAACAAUAAUAGUAACACUAAAAGAAACAAUGUAAAGUACAGUUCUUGUGGUUGUUUUCUAUUAUUAUUUUUAUUCUUAUUAUUAUCUGUAGCAAAACUUUUUAUC
rnacentral:ribozyme from 17 species